UGAUUAUUCCAUGCAAAAUUAAAAAUUAAAUUUUAAGAUGUUGAAGAUAUUGAUACAAGUAACCCUAACUUACUAUCAUACCUAGCUUUAAUAUUCAAAAUUCUACUUUUAAGUUAUGUUCUCAUGUGCAUAUAACAAUAAGGUACUGAUGUAUUUGUGUAAUCCACUCUUCGGUUUAAUUUCGUGAUUUUCAUUAAAUUUUCAGUAAAAUGUCCAUGUACAUCUUUCACGUACUAAGAGAUACCUUGGUGUUUAUUUGAAAUUUCUAAGAAGAUUCUUAUCGACUCCUUAAGCUCGUAAAAGUAUGCCUUCGUUUCACCGCGUGAAACGACCAACAAAUUACACAACGGUCAGACUUUUACUUGAAUGAGCAAAGAACCGCGAGAACAGCGAUGGUCAAGCACGCGCGAGACCUUCCACGAGAUAAUUUAUUGGUCAAUCAAAAUGACGCAUGGAGGUAUAAGGUGACACGUCAGCGUGCACGGUUGACCAUUAAUUUUAAUACCCGUCACCAUCAGAUCUCCCGACGCUGCUUUCCACGUUGGCUCCCCACUGACGGUGGAGCGUAUCCAUCGGCAUCGGCUACCGUACGACUAAUGCCCCGUUCACUAACGACGAUCAUCCUUGAAGAUCUCGGUCUACCGAUCUCUCACGGCCGCCACGAAUUAUUAUCCUUCUCUUAAUCCUGUGUAGCUGACCCGCCGCACCAUCCUAUCGGGUGGCGAUUUCAAUAAUGGAACAAAUCGAAGGAUUAAACUUUUUGAAUAUAUAGAAAAAAAUUGGGGGACUUGGAGAAACUUAAAGAUUAGAGACAAUCUUUUAUGUGCAACUUCCACAAAAUAAUAGCAAAAGUGAAUAUAAUACACUGAUAAAGAAACAAGAGGAUAAUGAAGAAAAACGAAAAGCGGAAUAAACCAAUAAAUACCUACAAUCUUGUGAAAAAUCAUGCAAUUAAGAUACGAUCAGACGAAAGCUGCGAGCUGGCGUCCGAAUAUAUCAAUGGUACGCCAAGAACGCGUCGAGAGGUAUGCCAGCACGGUGCUUAUCUGGUGUUCGAGGCGCGCAACUAGAGAAUUCUAGGACGUUAUUUACGGCUGAUUAGCAGGCUCAAUAAUUCCCUUCCGCAUUACUUUAUUGAGUCCCAUGGCCCACGCGCGAUUUGCCUGCGAUUUAUGGCGCAAGAUAGACCGAUACCGCUGCCUCCGGAUCGGCUCGUUCUGUUGGGCUGAUCUCGUAUGUAAACAGAGGCCGAACCAAACUGACCGGUAAUCUCCGACGAAUUUGCAUCUGGUUCUUUUUCUAAACAGUUCGAGCGAGCCAGGUAAUAUGCAGCGUGUUGCAUGCAUAAAAGGGAAACGCGCAUACGUUGAAACAACGAAACAGAAUUGUCUUUCACGAGAAUCGAAUCGUGCGACUCCCGUGAAACGGAAACCAUUUGUUUCCCAACGAUUCAGGGAUUAUUCCAGCCGCAUCUGUUUAACGCGCAUCAUCGACGUUUCAAUCGGUUACACCAGCAUCUACGGUCAACAUCUAAUCCCUAUUCGUUUCAUCGACUAUUCCAAAGUGGCGGAGUAUACGUCAACGUGAAAUGAAACACGGUAUGCUGUCGGUUCUCGAGACGGAUGCAUAAUUUCGAGGCUCGAGGCUCCCAAGGCUGGUUCCUGUCCCCGCCGCGUUACAGAAGGCGCACACGGUUGCUCAGGAAUGUCGAACGGGUCGGUCACAGGGUUAAUGUUUGCUGCCUCCUCACGUGCCUCUGACUUUUCUCCCUGGUUGUAUCUCAUUUGUAAAGAUUCCGGGACAAAGGAGCCACCAAGAACCGUUUGUGUGGCUUCGCGGCUCGCUUCACCCAUAAGUAGUCUCGACUUGGGCCAUGUACGCCUGCCGGACAGACAGAAGCGCGAGUCUGUCAAGUGGCGCGAUUAUAAUCUGACAGGGACGUAUCGGUUGCCGGCCUUUCCUCCCGAUUCCGAGCAAUCGACAAUAUAUUUUGGAGUCAAGCGUUACUAGGUGCCGAGCAUCGAAUAUUUCCAUGAUUUACGAGUGACGUAUCGCAUUAAGAACAGGGCCAAAUAUUUAUUUUUGCGUAUACAUCGCAUGCGAAGGAGAGACUGCACGAAAUAUUUGUUACUGCAUAUUACGAUUUACACUCACUUUAAGGUUGUCAAGUUUAAUUACAAUGACUUAUUUCAGAAUAUACGUGGAAGUAAUCGAAUUUAUGAGAAUCGAUGGAGUUGAGUCUACGUUUGAUGUUCACGAGAUUUCGUUUAAAUUCAACUGAUGAAAUAUUACCGGAUGGUUCAGGUACUCAACUUCUGUCCGUUUCCGACCAUCAGUUCUUGUAAAAAGAAAAAAUAAUUGUCGCUUAUUAGUCAUCGCGACGUCGGCACCGGUACGUUAAUGUCGUCUAUUACUUACCAGGUACGUUCCCGAAAGCGAGGCUGAUCCUUCGGACAUCCUGGCUGGACGAUCUUUGGCCGACAACCUUUGGGUUCCAUUAUCGAAAAAGAAAAAUGGGCACACCAAUACACGAAAAAACCAAUGAAAUUAUUUAUUCUCCAACGUCGACGAACUCUAUCUUCGAUCUUCUUAUUUCCGACCCUAACGAUGGCUAUCUAACUUCAACAUGAUUUCAACUUUUCAUCGGUCCUCCUCGCCGUUUAUCGUCGUCCGGCAAAACUGCUAGAAGUCCUUCACGCACUCUGCACCACUGGUUAUGCGAAGUUAACAGAGACAACUUAAUCGUAAAUCAAACGCGUUAUUGUUGUUAUAUUCCAAAGCGAACUACCAACAUUAUUGGCUGAUGGCUUGAGAUAUUCUUUGGUGGAGGAGAUAAGAAAUUAUUUUUUCCUCUACCUUGAUUAUUUGUUUUUGAAUUAACGCAACCUUCCACGUUACUUUCGCUUUCCAUGCAAUUUAUUGGUCGCUGGCUUUAUCAAUGCGAUGAGACUGGAAUAGUUGUUGUAAUCAUCGAAUUCAACACGAAUACAAAGAGUUGACGCGACAGCAAAUGGAAUACAAGUUGGGAAAAUAAGCGAAUAAAUUUUCUGCAAUAUUUUUGCUCCUGAGUUUCUUUUCUUUUCGAUGCAAUUUAUUGGUCAGAAGCUUUAACAAUCCAAUAAGACGCUGCAACUACAAUAUAUAGGCGUUACCAUGCUUUUCAAAUGCAAGAAGAACGCAAGAAGAACGAGUGGUUCUUCUGGACGUUAAUAACUCGUUAUAAAUAUCGUAAUGGUUGCCACCUUGCAUGCAUGUAUAUAUACACUGAGAAAGCUUUUAUUAAUCUUCUAGGCGGAGCAUCAAGAUACAAUCUAGAAUGAUUAUUAUACGAAACGACUUAUUGUUCCGGAUCAGCUCUUGGAAAAAUACGCAUCCAUCGAAAGAGUAUCAAUUUCUUCUAAACGCUGCACUUGACCCUAUUUGAUCGAACCAACUGGAAAAUUGCCAGUUCGGUAUAUGAAGUUUUGAAUGAAGAAUCAUAAUUAGAAGAACGUUCUGCUAUGUGCUUAUACAAAUCUCAACAAUUUACCGAUUCCACCAACCACAGCGGUUAUUAGUAUUCAUGAUUCUAGGUGUGGAAACUAACAAACGGACGAAGAUUAUUACUUUUCAGAUUCUCGACCGUUACCCAGGAUAUUUAAGAUCGAUUAUUCUUAGAAUUGCAGAAGAUGACUAUGAUACGCUAGAACUUCCUUUUCGUUAGUGCAAAUAUUUUCUCGUACGUUGCUAUACUUAUAAAAUGGUGGAUUAUAUCGACGUUUAUAUGAAUUCUAAUUAUGUUUCAUUCUCCUAUUUCGGAUGGAUAGAAUAAUAUAAACCAUGGGAGACUAUCAGAUUGACCCACUGUGAAAGACAUGUAAUAAUUUAAAUAAUGCUAAAGAUAAUUGUAUAAAAAUUAGGCUGU